GACGAACGCUGGCGGCGUGCUUAACACAUGCAAGUCGAACGAUGAAGAAAAGAAUUGCAGCUUCGGCAGAAAUUCAUUUCGGAUUAGUGGCAGACGGGUGAGUAACGCGUGAGCAACCUACCUCUUACAAAGGGAUAGCCUCGGGAAACCGGGAUUAAUACCAUAUAACAUUGCGACGAAGCAUUUCGAUGCAAUCAAAGCUACGGCGGUAAGAGAUGGGCUCGCGUCCCAUUAACCAGAUGGUGAGGUAACGGCUCACCAUAGUAACGAUGGGUAACCGGCCUGAGAGGGUGAGCGGUCACACUGGAACUGAGACACGGUCCAGACUCCUACGGGAGGCAGCAGUGGGGAAUAUUGCACAAUGGAGGGAACUCUGAUGCAGCGACGCCGCGUGAGUGAUGAAGGAAUUCGUUUCGUAAAACUCUGUUCUAUGGGAAGAAAAGGACUGUACCAUAGGAGAAAGCUCCGGCUAAAUACGUG
rnacentral:rRNA from 1 species